rnacentral:ncRNA from 1 species
UAUAAAACAUAGAAAAAGACCAGUAACUUUAUUAUAGAUAACUUACAGAGAGUCCCGGUUGCUGCAAGGGGAUAGUUAUUGAUAAAGCGAAUAUCACUUUGAGUUCCGCGGUGAAAUCAGUAGCUAGCGGUGGGAACAAGCCCAUUACAGCUUGGUGUAGUUAAAACACAGCUACAUUCCGAGGUUGUUAGUGCGAACUAACAGCGAAUAAAAGGUGGUAACACGUCUAGACGUCCUUUAG